UUUUAUGGAGAGUUUGAUCCUGGCUCAGGAUGAACGCUGGCGGCGUGCCUAAUACAUGCAAGUCGAGCGAACGGACGAGAAGCUUGCUUCUCUGAUGUUAGCGGCGGACGGGUGAGUAACACGUGGAUAACCUACCUAUAAGACUGGGAUAACUUCGGGAAACCGUAGCUAAUACCGGAUAAUAUUUUGAACCGCAUGGUUCAAAAGUGAAAGACGGUCUUGCUGUCACUUAUAGAUGGAUCCGCGCUGCAUUAGCUAGUUGGUAAGGUAACGGCUUACCAAGGCAACGAUGCAU
rnacentral:rRNA from 1 species